GGGAGAGAGAGGGAGAGCGAGAGAGAGAGAGAGAGGGAGAGAGAAAAGAAGAGGGGGAAAAAAAGGAAAGAAGAUUUUCUCUAUGUAUAUAAAGAUGGCCACGUUAGCAAACGGACAACCAGACAAUACCAGCCUGAGUAGCAAUCACAGCAACCCCAGCACCAACGGGCAUAUGAACGGAUUAAACCAUAGUCCCGGAAACCCAUCCACCAUCCCAAUGAAGGACCACGAUGCCAUUAAGCUCUUUAUUGGGCAGAUCCCCCGUAACCUGGACGAGAAAGACCUCAAACCGCUCUUCGAGGAGUUCGGGAAGAUCUAUGAACUGACGGUGCUGAAGGACAGGUUCACUGGCAUGCACAAAGGCUGUGCCUUCCUAACAUACUGCGAAAGGGAGUCUGCUCUAAAGGCCCAGAGUGCACUGCAUGAACAGAAGACACUGCCAGGGAUGAAUAGACCGAUCCAGGUGAAACCAGCGGACAGCGAAAGCCGAGGAGAAGACAGAAAACUCUUCGUGGGCAUGCUUAAUAAGCAGCAGUCAGAAGAUGAUGUGCGCAGGCUAUUCGAGGCAUUUGGCAACAUUGAGGAGUGCACAAUCCUUCGGGGACCCGAUGGAAACAGCAAAGGCUGUGCAUUUGUGAAAUACUCUUCGCAUGCAGAGGCCCAAGCAGCUAUCAAUGCCUUGCAUGGCAGCCAGACAAUGCCGGGAGCCUCUUCAAGCCUGGUGGUGAAGUUUGCAGAUACAGACAAGGAGCGUACAAUGAGGCGCAUGCAGCAAAUGGCGGGACAAAUGGGCAUGUUCAACCCCAUGGCCAUCCAGUUUGGAGCAUAUGGCGCCUACGCACAGGCACUGAUGCAGCAGCAAGCCGCGAUCAUGGCUUCGGUGGCGCAGGGCGGAUACCUGAACCCCAUGGCAGCCUUUGCUGCAGCCCAGAUGCAGCAGAUGGCGGCUCUGAACAUGAAUGGCCUGGCAGCUGCCCCCAUGACUCCAACCUCAGGUGGAAGCACGCCUCCUGGCAUAACUGCACCAGCUGUGCCUAGCAUCCCAUCUCCAAUUGGGGUGAAUGGUUUCACUGGCCUCCCGCCGCAGGCUAACGGGCAGCCCGCCGCAGAAGCCGUGUUUGCUAAUGGCAUACACCCUUACCCAGCACAGAGCCCCACUGCAGCAGACCCCUUGCAGCAAGCCUACGCUGGAGUGCAGCAGUACGCAGGUCCUGCUUAUCCUGCUGCUUAUGGCCAGAUUAGCCAAGCGUUCCCACAGCCACCUCCCAUGAUACCACAGCAACAGAGAGAAGGACCAGAGGGCUGUAACCUGUUUAUCUACCAUCUGCCCCAGGAGUUUGGGGAUGCUGAGCUGAUGCAGAUGUUCCUGCCUUUCGGUAAUGUCAUCUCCUCGAAAGUGUUUGUGGAUCGGGCGACAAACCAAAGUAAAUGCUUUGGUUUUGUGAGUUUUGACAAUCCUGCCAGUGCCCAAGCUGCCAUCCAAGCUAUGAAUGGCUUCCAGAUUGGCAUGAAGAGGCUGAAGGUGCAGCUGAAGAGGCCAAAGGAUGCUAAUCGUCCCUACUGAGAAGUUAUGGGAACCACUGGAUACAAAGCACUAGCACAGAGCCAGUCAAAUCCACCACAGUCUCGCGCUGAGCUAGGAAAAAAGUUCACGUAAUGACAUGAAAGUGGAGAAUACAGUCCCCCAGGCCGGCAGCAGCUGAAUGGGCCACAAUUAGAAAAACAAAACAAAAACAAAACAAAACAAAACAAAAACACAAAAAAGUCUAUCUAUAUUAAAAAAAAAACAAAAAAAAACGGGAACUGUUGGAUUACACCUUUGACAUAUCAGCAAAUAUCAAUCAAGCUGAAGACUUCAGACUUAUUCUCUCUUUGAUUGUUUAGACUGUAACAUUUCUUCAAGAAAAGUAUCACAUCUGCUGACUUCGAAGGACAUGCGCUUGAAAACAAACAAACAAACACAUAAGUAAAAUCAGAACAGGAACAAGAUCAACCAGGAUUUCUGAAGAAACACUGAUAUCACCACAGCGGCUUUUCUUCAAACAGGAGAUGCAAACCUGGAUACUGACAAAGGAGUGCCUGUUUGCCACCAAGGAUGCGGUUACCAUGCACGACCCAUGGUAACAGUCACUGAGCAUCUUUAUCUGUCAUUCCUUAGCUAUAUAGGGACCAAAGGACAAAACUUUUUACCGCAGACUUGUAGCUGUAUGUAAAAUAUGGAAGUUCUUUCCUUUUCUCUGAGCUGUUCCUAAAACAGUUUUUGAGAGCGAUUAUAAGAAAUAUAUAAAAAUUAAAAAAAAAUGCUUAAAUGCUUUUAAAAUGGCAAGAUAAUAGUUCUUUGAUACUUUGGGAGGUUCUUUGGUUAUACAUUAAUUAGAGUCUAUGAAGCUUUCAUAUGGUUUUCUGUAUAAUACGUAAGGAUUGCGCUGUUAAAGGCAGGUUAGAUGGAUAUCUAUGGAAAGCAAAAAAAAAAUACAUAAAUAAAUACACUAAAAAGCAUAGAAGAGAAAGGAAAGGAAAGAUGGUUGAUAUUAAAAUGGAAAACAAAAAAAGAAAAGGUUUGUAAAUGCUUCUAACUCUCCCCAUUUAAAAUCCUAAUAGUUGUACAGAAUUUAAAAAAGAAAGUUUAAAAUACCUAUAUAAUAGAAAAAAAAUUAGACAACAUAAAAAAAAUAAAAAAACAAAAAAGCAAAAAAAAAAUAA